CGGUGACGUUGGGGUCUUUGUGGAAUGAGGCAUUAUGGUUCUACGUGCUCUUGUGUGAGUUUAGACGCUGCCAAGGAACCGAACUGACGACCUUGUGCUUGCCAGGUUCAUUCUGGUGCUAGUGACAACAGUAGAGCCUAAAAUAAAAGCAGCUUAACAGAGUUCUCUGGAGGGUUGAAAUGAUCCGAGUCAAUUUUGCGUGACAGAUUCCAAUUUUUCAG